rnacentral:rRNA from 1 species
CCCGCUGAACUUAAGCAUAUCACUAAGCGGAGGAAAAGAAAUCAAAAGAGAUUCCCUGAGUAACGGCGAGCGAAAGGGGAAGAGUCCAUUGCGAAGCCGCGCCACUCUAGCGGGUGAGUGCGGGAUGCCACGUUAAUGUUGUAGCGGCUAGUUGGUGGUCUCGCGCGCCUUGCAAGUCCGCCUGACCGCGGCCAUAGACCAAAGUGGGUGCCAGUCCCAUAGCGAGGCGUGAGGUUGCCAGCGAGCUGCGACAUGUUCGAGUCAGCUUGCUUGAGAGUGCAGGCUAAAGCAGCAGGUAAACUCCUGCUAAGACUAAAUAUGACUGCGAGACCGAUAGCAAACAAGUACCGUGAGGGAAAGUUGCAAAGAACUUUGAAGAGAGAGUUCAAAAGGACGUGAAACCGUUUGCAGGUAAGCGGGUGGGGCCACGAAGUCGCGAACCGGGUGUGCGUUCAGUUGUUUCUUGCUUUGAAGGUGGGGUGUGUGUGCGCCAGGCAGCUGGUGGCCCGCUCUGCCUCUUGAGGCGGGAGACGAUGCAUUCGCAGCCGCCCGGGUCCGAAGUCGUAACCAGUUCGAGGGACACUGCGGCCGUGCGCGAGAGUCGCCGGGAAGGUGCGUUGUCACUCUUACGGGUGGCAACUGUUAUAGCCCGAUGGCUCGUACGAGCAGAGUUGAACGGACUGGCGGUGUAGUUGCCGCGCAAGGCGGCAUACGUGUGUUUGUGGUGUUGGUGGCGUGUCGAGGCUGUGUCCGGCUGCGGGUCGAUGAGUUGCUUGUUGACUCAAGACUCGUGCCGUGUGCUGCAGUCUAUGCGGGCGCGUCAUCUCGCUGCAGGCAUAUUGACGACUAGUAGGUCGGUUUCCCACCCGACCCGUCUUGAAACACGG